GGGAGGGAAACCACGGGCUGGAACCUGGGGUGCCCAUCACCACCCCCAAACAGAGAGAUCCCCAGGAAUAUCUGGGAGACGGCUAGGUCUGCUGCACGCACAGACAGUGCUCCGGUCCUCGGCUUGGUUACCAAGGGAACAGCACGCCAGAAAGGAAGGAGGCUGCUGGCCGUCCCCUGCGCUUUGUGACACUAAGCCAAGGCACAGUGAGCCACAUGUCUGUUCAGGCUCACUCUCCACUGGGCCUCCCAGGGCCACUGAGAAGCCAUGCCAACAGUCCCUUGGCAGUGCUGGGCUCCCGUGACCUCCUCAGGUCCUGGAGCCUGUACCCAAGUGCUCUGGACUGCGGAGUUCAGCACAAACACCACAACCUGGACCACUCCCCGUCCAGCCCCUCCGGCAUUCCCCCAGGUGCCCACCUGUGCUGUGGGGUGGUCAGGAGAAAGCGCUGGUACUUGUCCUCAGCUGAAGCUGCUAGCCCUCGACUAGGCCCAGCUAGCGCCAUGGGCCGAUGACAAACCCGAUUGCAGCCUCUGCAGCCUUGGUGUCACCUCUAGGUGAUGGAGUCACCCACAGAGCCAGCUAAGGGGUGUGGAUUUAGGAAGAGCUGUCCCGGACCUCGGAAGUUACUUGGAACAAAGUUCUUAAUAACUGUUAUGGCAUCAGAUCCGCCAUUUUAGUUCGGGAGCCAUUUUAUCCGGGGACUCCCGGGUCUCCUCAGGAGCCAUUUUAUCCGGGGACUCCCGGGUCUCCUCAGGAGCCAUUUUAUCUAGGGACUCUCGGGUCUCUUCAGGAGCCAUCUUAUCUAGGGACUCCCGGGUCUCCUCAGGAACCAUUCUAUUCAGGGUCUCCUGGGUCUCCUCAGGAGCCAUUUUAUCUGGAUCCUGAGGCAAUGCUGCUUGGCCUCCCGUAAGAACAUGUGCCUGCUCGAGGGUCGUCCCCACCCCAGCCCGUGACACAGCCCUAGCAUGCUUGUGAAAUUCCUCUUGCGGGCUCUGAAGCUGCCUGUGAGUGCCCACAGGCUGCUGCUCUCCUUGGAGGGACAGCCUUGGCCGUUUGUCUCCGUGGAUUCUGGCGUGGCGUGUCCUUGGACUCUGCGAGUGCCCUUUCAACUGCUACACUAGACACCUGGGAAGUGUGGGUUUGAUCAGUGAAAGGCGUAGUGACCUUUGGAAGACAACUUAGGGUGGACGGUGAACGUGGCACCCGUGGGGGUUCUGUGCUGGCUAGGCAGGCCACCCUGCCCUCUGUGUCUGUCCUCCCUCUCUCCAGGCACCCCCUGGGAGGAUGCUGCCUCCCUCGGCUGGAAUCCAACAUGGAGAUGGUUUGCACAGCCAGCAGGGCUCACACGGACCAUUGCAGGCCACUGCCCCCCUCCAGAACAAGGGAGCUUUGUCUCUUGUUUCCUCAGGAGGUCAAGGUCCACCAGAGGCUGGCGUGUGGGUGUUCUGUCUGGGGCAACUUUGCCCUGAAUGCGGCUUCAGUGCACAAUGCUGCCUACACCUCAGGCAAAUGCUCUGUCCUGAGCAGGGACGGGGCAGAAGGGGCUCCUGCAGCUCCCACCAACCAUGCGCCGCCCUUCAGCCAGAGGUCCCUGGCCUCAGCCCUAAGUCCAGUCCCUGAAAAACGAUUUUCUGUGGCAAAGCCAGGUGUCAACUGGACUCAGUGUGCCAGGGUAUGGAACGAGCCGUACUUGGCAGGCUGCUUCCCAGUAUGGCCCACACCAAGCUAAGAGCCCCACCAGAAGCUUCUCCCCAGAAACAAAGAGCACACGGUCCUUGUUGGCCAUUGCUGGAGGGUGUUGAGCAUUGGAACUUACUUUAUUUGGAAAGGGAGAUUUUGUGGCCAGUUUUUGUAGGCAGCUUGAAGGAUUUAUGAUUGACAGCUAGCAAUUACUUGAAGGGACACUGUCACCAAGGUAACUGUGCAGGAAACCAGGGCAGAGGGACUGUCUGCUGAGGCCUGCGUGCGGGGUGGGCUGUGUGGCUUAGCACCUACUCCCUUUGCUUGUUCACCAACCUGAGCCCCCCAGCAGGCAGAUUCUGAGGGGAAAGAAACCAGUUCUCACGGCAAAUGAAGAGCAGCCCCUGCUCCCAGACUGUGCCUUGAGUCAAAUCCUAGCUACACCCCCAGACCGCAGCCUCCUGCCCAGGUCCUGGCCUCCCCAGGCUGCUGUGGCGAAGUGGAGUCCUCCAGGACAGCUGCUGCUGGAAGACCCGCGUGUCCUCGGGGGUCCAGGAGCCAAGUGCUCAGGAGAGCUGGGGAGGCUGACCCCACCUAGAAAACCAAGCGACCCCAGGGCAUGGUGCUGUUAUGCUCGAAUUCGGGACCCCCAAAAGACCACCAGAGACCAAGAUCGAUGUAAGCAGCAAAGAGGUGUUUAUCGCGAGCUAGCUCGGUCCUCCACGCGCACACACAGCAACUGGUGACGCUGAGAGGCCCCGAGCCCAGGGUUUGCAGCAGUUUUAUACAUUCUUUGGAGAAGGCAGGGACUUCACAUACAUCAUAGCAUCUCUUAGCAAAUCAUCACACAACAACUCUUAACAUUUAUUAGCACAUUCAUGGCGGGAACAAGUUGGGUAGGGGUGAUUGGUUACUACAAGAGGAGGAUUCCUUUGAACUGAUUGGUUUAGGCCACGAGGGGAGAACGUGCUGAACUACGUGGUUUCCCAACACGUUAUCAACCACCAUAAACUACUGGGGGGUCAUCUGGCAUCCCAGGUAUUUCCCUGUCUCAUGCUGAUUGGUGGCUGCUAGGGGUCCCCACCUAGCCGGACUGAGUGACCCUAGCAGAUCUCUCCUGUUAUUUGUAGAUAAACAACUCAGCAGGGUGGGCGUGUGCCUAGGAGUGCUCUGGGGGUCUUUCCCAGGACCAGGUCACGCCCCUUCCUUGGACAGGUUUGGCUCUGGGGUAGAGGCUGGCCUUUCAGUACUUUGCCCAUCUCAGAAAGAAAAGCAGCGCUUUCCGCCAGCCGGCUGGGUGGGCCUCCCACAGCAUGGACACCCGCCCCCACCCUGCACCCCCACAUGUGCCUGCUUCCCUCUGUCCCACCUCAAAGCCCCCAGGGCACAGGGCCAUCGGCAGCUAGGAAUGGAACUGUCCCUGCCCCUCCCAGCUCUGUCAGUCCACUCUAGGGCUCAGCUGGACCGGCCUCCCAGGAAGGGUGGGUGCUGGGUUGGGUCCUUGCACCGGCUGCCGGCCCCGCCCCAGGACCAUGUGCCAGUGGCUUGUGGACUGUGUGGUGGCUUCAGAAUCACCUCCGGUCAUCUCACUCUCAGGGCUUGGUGCUCUGUCUGGGUCUGGGCUUCAGGCGUCUCUCUCCCUCCUCCUGCCUGGGCGGUGGCGGGAGGGCUGCCCACCGUCCUGAAGGCACAGACCCCAGCUGGGCUCCCACCUAACCCACGGCCCCACGUGUCCCGUCCACUGAGCGCAGCUCCUCCUCCCCGCAGGCCUGCCGUAGGGAUGAGGAUGGGCGGCCACCGGGGCUCCUGACACAGGGCUGAGUGCCAUCCAGGGGACCUGCCCUGGUCCCUGCUCCAGAGCCUGUGAGCGCUCUGCCGGUCGCCUUCGGCUCCUCGCCCCUUGUCUCCAGGGAAGAGCCCGCCUUCCUGAGGGCCGGAGCCAUGCUGGGACGGCUCUUCCUCAGCAGCCGGCCUGGGCUGGACAGUAAGGGUGCACUCAGGGAAGCCCCCCCCUGCUGGCCUCCAGGUCAAGGGAUGCCCGGGAGGCCUCUGUCCCUUUCUUUCUUCCAUGUGUGCACCUCUGAGACCUGGCUUGUCCCUUCUCUGGAUGAGAGUGCAGGGAGGCGAGGCCUCUGUCCAGCCCUCCUGCUGGCUGGCCGCCCAGGGAGGGGAGGAGGUUGACUGCAGCUAGUGGCCUGCUCUGACGUUUCCUUGAAAUCACUGCUUGUGUGUGUGUGUGUGUGUGUGUGUGUGUGGUGUGAGAUGAAAUCACUGCUUGUGUGUGUGUGUGUGUGUGUGUGUGGUGUGAGAUGAAAUCACUGCUUGUGUGUGUGUGUGUGUGUGUGGUGUGAGAUGCGCAUUUCUCGAUCAAGUGUUAAGCAGAUUCUCUUGGGAGUCAGAAGCGUCACUGUGCUGCUGGACUGGCGUGGACCACGGCCAGGCAGGGUCACACGGGCCAGGCGGGGUCACACCGGUCAGCCUGGUGAGCCAGGAGGGCCCACUGGGGUGCUCUGCGAGGCCCGCCCUGCUCCAGCACCGGCUGAGGGGAAGGUGACACUCCAGCCGCUCCUUCAGUCACUGCUCGGGGGACAGCUCAGAGAGGUGCAGCAGGAGUAAGUGGGAGGAGCAGCAGAUGGGCACUCAGAGAACCAGGAAGAUGUGGAGGGCAGGCUGUCCUGCUGUGUGCGGCCGAAGACCCCGAAGGCAGCCCCUCCCGCUGUCCACAGCCUCCCAGGAACACCCGCCCCCUGUCCCCUUCCCUGCUGAUGGCUCUCAGGCUCCGAGGACCCUCUGCAUUUCCCAGAGACAGAGGCAGCCCAUGACCUUGAACACGGCUCUCUUGGGUGCCCUCCCCAGAGCCAGAGCACGUGAGCCUCUGUCCCCUCCUCCGCACCUGCCAGGCAGAUUGUCCACCUCAGUCGAGGUGCUCUGAGCAGCUGGACCUGACUGUGCCCACUCAUUAAAGGGGCAGCAACGGCCCACGCUGGUCUCCUUUCCCCCUUGAUGACAGCACUGGGCGGACCUGGUAGGAGACGUGAUGGGGUCAGGUAAGCAGCUGGCAGGAGGGGCCAGCCACAGAACUGGCACGUGGCCCGCGGAAGCACUCCUUCCUCCACGGGGCACCGCAGUGGCCAGGACCGGGGCACCUGCUGCUGGGUCAGGUGGCCCUGCCCACUCACCGUGGGAGACGCUGGGGCUGCCCUGCUCGUGGGUGGACGGUUCAGGGCCUGGCAGUUUUGCUUCCCCGUCACAUCGCACUGUUGAAUAAGGCGCCCGAUACGUGAGCAAGAGGCUUUGGGUCCCUGUCUGCUGUCAUCAAGAGGCGAUGAGGUCACCAGGAACAGCAGGGGCCUUGCAGGGCAGAGGACACGGUCACGUCAGGAGGAGGAGUCUGGUCCUGGCUGCACCUUCCCCUGACACCCCCGCAUCUUGUGCUGGAAAGUGUCUGCCCUGGAGGAAAGGCAGGUGGGGGCAUAACAGGAAGUUGGACUGCUUCCUCUUCCUGGCUGGGCAGCUUCCUGGCUGCCUUGUUCCUGGUCGGUUCACAGCAUGAGCAACCAGACCCUGCUUUAUGGAGAGGAUUCGGGUUGGCCCAACACCCCAGGGAAGCCCUCACUUCUCGGGCAUAGUCUCCAGCCCUGGGGUCUGUCUCUGGGGGUCCUGCCAUUCUCACCUGGACCAGGUCAGCCUGCAGCUCCUCCCCUGAUGGAGGUGACCUGGAGUCUGUGGGCGUGCAGCUCGAGCCCCGGAGACCCCUGCCCAUGAAGACUGACAGACCAAGGGGUCACGUCUGGGCAUCAGGGUUCCCAGGCUCCCGAGAGCCAGCUGCUGUGGCCAAACCCAAGCUCCGUGCACAGGAAUGAAGCUGAGGUCCUCCUGGCCACACUUCCCACAGGGACCCAGAACCUGGCACAGCCCCGAGGGCAACCUAGGGAGGAGCGGGAGCUCUUGUCCCCAUAACUUCGGGGCUACGUGAGCUCACAAUGCAGCUCCUCCCGACCCUGCUGGUGAGGCUCAGGCCAGGAGAGUUUCUCCCCAGGGCACAGAUCUCAGCCAGGCCUGGGAUUUUCUGUGGACUUGGCCGCUGCCACCAUCCCACGGGGACGUUCUCUGCAGACUUGGCUUUCAUGGACCACUUAGGCACACAUCAGAUGACUGGGUCAAUAGCAAAUGAGAGCUUUAGCUAGGAAACCACUUCCUGUGGUUCUGAAGAUGCCUUUUUGACACCUGCUCGGCAGAGAUGCCCCUGUGGACUCUGCAUCACCACUUGCUGCCACCAUGCUGCCCAGGUGGCUGCCCAGGUGGAAGAGAUUUCUCAGCUCUGAGUCAGUAUCGCCCCAGGUUCCUGCAGCUCCUGGCUCCCAGCCACCCGCUGACAAGGCCAAGGGCCUUGGAUCCCACCAGCUCCAUCAGGGAAGGCGUGGAGAGACUGGGAGGGACUCCACGCGGGCAGCUUCAGGCUGGCCCUGGCUUGGGGAGGCCAGGACUGGAGGCUCCUCCUCUCCUUUCAUCAGGGUUACCUCCCACCUUGCCAGCGGCUCUUGUCUGAGAUCCCCUUCUAGGACUAAUUCACGCUCUGCUCUUGGUAAGGAAACUAACGCUGAGUCAUCCCCAAUGUCAAGACGAGAAACAAGGAGAAGCCCUGUUCAUGCAGCUUACUGUCGCAGCUUGUUUCCCAGCUGCUGUCUGCCUUUGGGACCCUCCAGGCCACCCCCUCAAGUGGACACUCUUGACAUAUUCACCCCUGACCCCAGGGGCAGGGGAGGAGCUACCUGAGUGGCUGUUCUAGAAGCUGACCUCUGUCAACUGAGCAGAAGCACUAAACAGGAACUCAGCAAAGCCACCGCCAGGCCUCAGAGAAUCAGGCUCCACCAAGCGGGGUCUACACUCAACAAGUACCGCCUUCCUGAAAGAGGACCAAGGUUUACAGACAGCCCCCUGAACCGCCAGACCACCCGGCCGGCCUGCUCAGCAGGUCAGCAUGGGAGUUGUAAGUGCUCAGCCUGCGGCUGGCCUCAAGGGACAGUGUGAUGGGAUCCUAGGGAACAGGCGUCUUCACGGGGAACCUGGCAGUAAUCAGGGGGAAACAGGCCUGAAGAGAAGGUCCCGUUUAGCCAAGAAUGAAAGGAGAACACCCAGAGGGGGCCAUAGAACCCUUCUUAAGUAGGCAAGACAGGGGAAGAGGGG
rnacentral:lncRNA from 1 species